UACGUAGGGUGCAAGCGUUGUCCGGAAUUAUUGGGCGUAAAGAGCUCGUAGGCGGUUUGUCGCGUCUGCUGUGAAAACCCGAGGCUCAACCUCGGGCCUGCAGUGGGUACGGGCAGACUAGAGUGCGGUAGGGGAGAUUGGAAUUCCUGGUGUAGCGGUGGAAUGCGCAGAUAUCAGGAGGAACACCGAUAGCGAAGGCAGCUCGCUGGGACGGUACUGACGCUGAGGCGCGAAAGCGUGGGGAGCAAACAGG
rnacentral:rRNA from 1 species